rnacentral:rRNA from 1 species
UUUCUUUGUCUUUGGUCUCGUAGCCGGCCGCCUAUUGGGGACGGGUCGAGGGAGCGAGGCGGUGCCGCCGCCUAGACCCUCUGCGCCGACGCGAGCCGACCAACUAGCACCUGGCCGUCUCGGAGUCUCUGGUAGCUAACCUCCCCUCCCCUCCCCUCCCCCAACCCCCCGCCCCUUUUGUCUCCCUCCUCUCCUGGCCGCGCCGCCUCUAGGUAGCCCCCGGUCGUCGUCGUCGUCGGGUCUAGUCUUCGACGCUAGGCGUUUUGAUUCUUUCCGGACAACAACACAAACACGGAGGCGGUACAGACACGUAGUUCCAACCCGUCUAGAUGGUCUACAGGACGAAGUAAGGUAGUAACGAGACUGUCCGAGGAAGAGGCUGGAGGAACGGAACCGAACGUGGACGGCGAGAACCGCACUCCGGAAGAAGAGAAAAGGUAGUUUCAGACGGAGGAGCUGCUAGAAGGGCGGACACGAGGACGUUGGACUACAGGGGCCCGCGAGAGGUACAGUGGUGGGGAAACCACUAUUUGCAGGUACAGUCCAGUAACUAGGUCGGUCGGUUGUGAGUGCGGAAACAACAGUCUAAGGGGAUCAAUUGGAAAGAGCAAUGGGGGUCUCAGGAGACCCGUCGAAAACGAAGGACCCGCGAAGAAUACCGGUAGAGUAGAAGAGGUCUUUGUCUAGUACAGAGCAACAACUACGUAAAUGUCCACAAUCAAGAAGUGGUGGUGUCUAAGGUCCACUGCUUAAGUGACUCCAGAUGAUGCCACGGGAGUGCCGAGGAGAUCGUAGUGGGUUGGGUGUAGAGGAACAGUGGUUGCCUAGAGUGUCAAUGAAAACCGCAAAACCAUCAGUGAGAACCAACUCUCGAACAGGAACGCUACCUUGCCAGUUCGUCUAACAGUGGAAGUUUCCGGUCCAGAAACCGUACCUGAGACCACCGUACGAGAAACAAUACGUGAACCACGGAGCCUAAGCGCAUGCCUACUACCCUCAGUCAACCCCCCUUUAGAGGUGCGCAGUAGAACGGUUGGAUAUGGACCAACGCACACCGCUAUACGAAGAGAACCAGCCCACAGCCCCCAGCAAAGGCCGUUCUCCCCUAAGGAAGCUUCGGAAGGCGGAGCUGGUCAGCUGGCUUGUACGUUUCACCCACUCCCACCUCCUCAACGUCUUAACCCGUUAGAAGUAGUCGUGACUGUUCUCUUCGGUUGGUAAUAGGAAGUACUUGGGCCUUUCCACCCCUCCCUCCUCGUUGACGCACAUGAUGAUAAGGGUACUAAGACUUGUGACCCGACGUAAACUCAACCCUUUCGGACGGAGGUCGGCUUUGUCGAAACAAAAGUAUUCGAGAUCGUUACAUCACGUUGGAUGCACCCAACAGGGAUCGUACAAGAGGGUCACACCACUACCAACUACUACAACUACGUAAGGAACCAAAUCCGUAGCCGAUAAUGACGACCGACCUCGUUGACUCGUUGAAGGCGACAUUCUCACACAUUCUUACACAAGACUUUGUAGCCAUCCCUAUUAAUACAUUAAUACAAACAGUAAUGAGACUACCAUAUUAACCUCGUACCGUUAUAAAACAUGAGUUAAAGAACGGACUACCAAGUCUUAAGUACCGUCACAACACUCCGUAAUAAUUACGUGACUACGAGACAAAAAACAUGAGUUAUAAAACGAAACGACGAACACGGGUUAAAACACGAAGUUUAGGACUUGACCAAUGACCUUGACAGUUAAAGUCACACGAUGUGUAGCCACUAAAACUUACAAACUAAAACCUACAAGGUAAGUACACGAAAACAAAGCUUGUAGAGUUAGGACUAAAGAAGUUUAAGACGGUUUAGACUUACGGAACAGAGGUUUCUCAGGGCAUGCAAUUACUUUGUAUGUACUUUGUACGUAACCAACUAACCACAUGUUACCGACACCCAACAGGGGUGAGGGGUCGUACAAGAGGACCACAGACAC